GUAGAUAUGAGGCUGUGGAUCCAAACCCCAGUGCAGCUCCAGGGAAGCCCCAUUUGAAAAUAGCCGCAUAAGGCUAGUGAUUAGAAACGCCAGCUCUAAAGCACAGGGAAGAAGAGGAGGAUUGUAAUCUGGAGAGGGUCAAGCUCUUCUAGGCAAGGCCAACCAGCUAUUGUGAUUAAAACACUGACAACUUGGCCCCUCCACCCCUGCCUCCAGACCUUCCGUGGACACGCUUAAUCACUGCAAGAGCAGCCUGUGCCGUGCUUGGUGAGAUGAUGGGAACCAGUGAGUGUGACCACAACCCACUGAUGAUAUCACCUAAGGGAAUGGUGGGUGGAAAAUGGAAGGAAUUUGAGUUCCUGCAAACUCAAAUCCUGCAAAUCUGCAUUGCUCUUCUUGGGACUACAACACAAGGAAGAAAUGAACUUCCAUCUUAUUUAAGCCUCUGCAUAUAGAUGUACACUUCUUGGUGUUUCCUUUUUAGAAUAGCUAAGGCUUUAUCUUAACAACCAAGAACUCAGCUCUCUCUUGCUUUCGCAGUGGUAUUUGCCUAUCAACUUCCCCUUCAAAGGUUCCACGUUACUCCUAUCUAUCCCACCCACUUGGGAUAGCUGAGCUACGAGGUCACCAGAGAAGGACAUUUACAUUUCCACUUAGGUGUGGAAUUCCCCUAAAUGGAGAAGGCCAGUUAUCUUCUUACUGCUCUUGCACAGUUUCUCUCACUGUUCUCCACUUGUUCCUUAUGCCUUACUUAGGCUGCAGUUAAAGAAACGCUCCCUUGGUGGUUUGGCUGCUCAACCAAUGGGCAUAGCUCACCCUCAGGACUUUCCACCUUGCCUAGCUCACUUCCUUUUUCUGCCUUCUGAGCAUUGCCUCUUUUAUUUUCCAGAUGCUAGAUAAUACACAUUCCCUUUCAAAUCACACAGACACUUUCAAACAAUAGUUAUUGAACAUGUACUUUGUAAGGUAAAACAUAAGAUUAGAAACAGGAAAAGUACCUGACUUUUUGGUCUCCUUGGAAAUACACAAAUAAAGAGGAAAUUAUAAAUUUAAGUGAAAAUUCCUGUAAUUGGGAUAUGUACAAUGUGUUACGGGAAUACACAAGAGAAGUGCCUGACCCAAUGUUGUACAAAAGGGAUGUGGUCAACCAUGUCAAGUGAAAUAAAAGCAUAAAAAAGGUGAAAUAAAUGUGUACAUUGGCUAUAAAAAACUGUACACCUAUGAAUAAAACAUCAUUUAAAACUUCAAAUAAUUUCAGAGUAUAUAAAAUUAAAAGUGAAAGUUCUUUUUCUCCCACAUCUUAAUACCCAUAGUGAUUUGUUAUUACUUGGUGUAUGUUCUUCCAGAUAUAUAGUCAUGAAAAAUAGGAUGAUUAUAUAUAUUGAUACGAUAU
rnacentral:lncRNA from 10 species